rnacentral:lncRNA from 14 species
CUGCAAGCUCCUCCUGAGCCUCAGCAUCUCUGACUUGCAGCUGAGACCUGAAAGGCCUCAGCUCACACCAGUGAACUCACCCAGCCCUCACACUGGUGCAUCAUGGCUGGCCUGGGCUUGGCAGCAGCAUGUUACAACCCCUGUGAUCUGCUAAUUACCACUCCAGGGAUUGUUAAUUACUCCUACAUGGCAUAAAUGAGAGGUGAAGAGGAACAACUGGCAGUAUGAGGAUAUGUUGUGUGGGACUGGAGGAAAGAGGUUUGGGACUGAGGUUUCUGCUUAUGUCCACUGGUGCAGCAGCCACCCAUGGCGGGGCAUAGCAGAAUGUGGCAGCAGCUGGCCCUGCUGGAUAAGCAAGCAAAGGAGAAUCAUCAGUCAUGAGACCUGAGGAGACUACUGAAAAUGAGGGAAGGGUACUGCUCAGUAACCCCACUGACUGCAAGAAGACAAGUCAAAAGGAGGACUGGUCUGUUGUGAUAGUGGAGAACAGCAAGAGAGGACCUGGAAAUGAAGAUGGGGGAAUUAACUUGUGAUCUUCAGUCCAUCUGCCUGGGUUGCAACAUCACCAAUCCAGGCUCUUGAAACACCAGGUCCCCUCUUCCAAAUGGAAAGUUUUUGUAAUUGAAGGACAUGCAUCUUUGAAACUUUGUCCUACAUUCAAGUUAAUUGAAUCAAAAGCCAGUUCUGCCAUUACCUGAGCAGUUAAUAAAAUCUAUUGCCUUAUGAUGGAUUUUGUUUUC